AAGAAAAACAACGGCAAGCUGAAUUACAGGAAAAAAAGGAAAUAGCAGAGAAAAAGUUUAAGGAAUGGUUGGAAAAUGCAAAAAAUAAACCUCGUCCAGCUGCAAAGAGCUAUGGUUAUGCCAAUGGAAAACUUACAGGAACCGUCAAGAAAAGAAGAUUUGUUGUGACAAUACAAAGUUCAAACUGGAAAAUUGGAAGUGAAUUGUGAACCUGUAAUGCCAAUCUCCUCCGUGAUAUCUGAAUUUCUACAUACCAGCCUCUGCUUGAAACACAUUUAGUGGGAUCCCUGGGUGGCGCAGCGGUUUGGCGCCUGCCUUUGGCCCAGGGCGCGAUCCUGGAGACCCGGGAUCGAAUCCCACAUCGGGCUCCCGGUGCAUGGAGCCUGCUUCUCCCUCUGCCUGUGUCUCUGCCUCCGUCUCUCUCUC